GGAGGCCACUGCUAUGGGGGUCCGACUAAGCCAUGCGAGUCAUGGGGUCCCUUCGGGGACACCGGCGGACGGCUCAGUAACACGUCGGUAACCUACCCUCGGGAGGGGGAUAACCCCGGGAAACUGGGGCUAAUCCCCCAUAGGCCUGGGGUACUGGAAGGUCCCCAGGCCAAAAGGGGCUCUGCCCGCCCGAGGAUGGGCCGGCGGCCGAUUAGGUAGUUGGUGGGGUAACGGCCCACCAAGCCGAAGAUCGGUACGGGCCAUGAGAGUGGGAGCCCGGAGAUGGACACUGAGACACGGGUCCAGGCCCUACGGGGCGCAGCAGGCGCGAAACCUCCGCAAUGCGGGCAACCGCGACGGGGGGACCCCCAGUGCCGUGGCAAAGCCACGGCUUUUCCGGAGUGUGAAAAGCUCCGGGAAUAAGGGCUGGGCAAGGCCGGUGGCAGCCGCCGCGGUAAUACCGGCGGCCCAAGUGGUGGCCGCUAUUAUUGGGCCUAAAGCGUCCGUAGCCGGGCCCGUAAGUCCCUGGCGAAAUCCCACGGCUCAACCGUGGGGCUUGCUGGGGAUACUGCGGGCCUUGGGACCGGGAGAGGCGGGGGGUACCCCUGGGGUAGGGGUGAAAUCCUAUAAUCCCAGGGGGACCGCCAGUGGCGAAGGCGCCCCGCUGGAACGGGUCCGACGGUGGAGGGACGGAAGGCCAGGGGGAGCGAACCGGAUUAGAUACCCGGGUAGUCCUGGCUGUAAAGGAUGCGGGCUAGGUGUCGGGCGAGCUUCGAGCUCGCCCGGUGCCGGAGGGAAGCCUUAAGCCCGCCGCCUGGGGAGUACGGCCGCAAGGCUG
rnacentral:rRNA from 1 species